rnacentral:rRNA from 1 species
AUUGAACGCUGGCGGCAUGCCUUACACAUGCAAGUCGAACGGCAGCACGGGUGCUUGCACCUGGUGGCGAGUGGCGAACGGGUGAGUAAUACAUCGGAACAUGUCCUGUAGUGGGGGAUAGCCCGGCGAAAGCCGGAUUAAUACCGCAUACGAUCUACGGAUGAAAGCGGGGGCCCUUCGGGCCUCGCGCUAUAGGGUUGGCCGAUGGCUGAUUAGCUAGUUGGUGGGGUAAAGGCCUACCAAGGCGACGAUCAGUAGCUGGUCUGAGAGGACGACCAGCCACACUGGGACUGAGACACGGCCCAGACUCCUACGGGAGGCAGCAGUGGGGAAUUUUGGACAAUGGGCGAAAGCCUGAUCCAGCAAUGCCGCGUGUGUGAAGAAGGCCAUCGGGUUGUAAAGCACUUUUGUCCGGAAAGAAAUCCUUGGCCCUAAUACGGUCGGGGGAUGACGGUACCGGAAGAAUAAGCACCGGCUAACUACGUG